rnacentral:rRNA from 1 species
GACGAACGCUGGCGGCGUGCUUAACACAUGCAAGUCGAACGGAAAGGCCCUGCUUUUGUGGGGUGCUCGAGUGGCGAACGGGUGAGUAACACGUGAGUAACCUGCCCUUGACUUUGGGAUAACUUCAGGAAACUGGGGCUAAUACCGGAUAGGAGCUCCUGCUGCAUGGUGGGGGUUGGAAAGUUUCGGCGGUUGGGGAUGGACUCGCGGCUUAUCAGCUUGUUGGUGGGGUAGUGACUUACCAAGGCUUUGACGGGUAGCCGGCCUGAGAGGGUGACCGGCCACAUUGGGACUGAGAUACGGCCCAGACUCCUACGGGAGGUAGCAGUGGGGAAUAUUGCACAAUGGGCGGAAGCCUGAUGCAGCAACGCCGCGUGCGGGAUGACGGCCUUCGGGUUGUAAACCGCUUUCGCCUGUGACGAAGCGUGAGUGACGGUAAUGGGUAAAGAAGCACCGGCUAACUACGUG